GGUUAAGUAGCUUAAGUAAAGCAUACGGCUUUUAACUGUAAGAUUAGGUAAAUAAAUAAUGCCUCUUGGCUA
rnacentral:tRNA from 1 species